rnacentral:rRNA from 1 species
UACAGAGGGUGCGAGCGUUAAUCGGAAUUACUGGGCGUAAAGCGUGCGCAGGCGGUUUUGUAAGACAGGUGUGAAAUCCCCGGGCUUAACCUGGGAACUGCGCUUGUGACUGCAAGACUCGAGUACGGCAGAGGGGGGUGGAAUUCCACGUGUAGCAGUGAAAUGCGUAGAGAUGUGGAGGAACACCGAUGGCGAAGGCAGCCCCCUGGGUCGAUACUGACGCUCAUGCACGAAAGCGUGGGGAGCAAACAGG